AGUGAACGCUGGCGGUAGGCCUAACACAUGCCAGUCGAACGGCAGCACAGUAAGAGCUUGCUCUUACGGGUGGCGAGUGGCGGACGGGUGAGGAAUACAUCGGAAUCUACUUUUUCGUGGGGGAUAACGUAGGGAAACUUACGCUAAUACCGCAUACGACCUACGGGUGAAAGCAGGGGAUCUUCGGACCUUGCGCGAUUGAAUGAGCCGAUGUCGGAUUAGCUAGUUGGCGGGGUAAAGGCCCACCAAGGCGACGAUCCGUAGCUGGUCUGAGAGGAUGAUCAGCCACACUGGAACUGAGACACGGUCCAGACUCCUACGGGAGGCAGCAGUGGGGAAUAUUGGACAAUGGGCGCAAGCCUGAUCCAGCCAUACCGCGUGGGUGAAGAAGGCCUUCGGGUUGUAAAGCCCUUUUGUUGGGAAAGAAAAGCAGCAGGUUAAUACCCCGCUGUUCUGACGGUACCCAAAGAAUAAGCACCGGCUACUUCGUG
rnacentral:rRNA from 1 species